CUACGUGCCAGCAGCCGCGGUAAUACGUAGGUGGCAAGCGUUGUCCGGAAUUAUUGGGCGUAAAGGGCGCGCAGGCGGCUUCUUAAGUCUGUCUUAAAAGUGCGGGGCUUAACCCCGUGAUGGGAUGGAAACUGGGAAGCUCAGAGUAUCGGAGAGGAAAGCGGAAUUCCUAGUGUAGCGGUGAAAUGCGUAGAUAUUAGGAGGAACACCAGUGGCGAAAGCGGCUUUCUGGACGAAAACUGACGCUGAGGCGCGAAAGCCAGGGGAGCGAACGGGAUUAGAUACCCCGGUAGUCCUGGCCGUAAACGAUGGGUACUAGGUGUAGGAGGUAUCGACCCCUUCUGUGCCGGAGUUAACGCAAUAAGUACCCCGCCUGGGGAGUACGACCGCAAGGUUGAAACUCAAAGGAAUUGACGGGGGCCCGCACAAGCGGUGGAGUAUGUGGUUUAAUUCGACGCAACGCGAAGAACCUUACCAGGUCUUGACAUUGAUGGACAGAACUAGAGAUAG
rnacentral:rRNA from 1 species